rnacentral:snRNA from 2 species
UUGACUUGUCGGCGACUCUGGACAUAAUUGGAACGACACAAAUAAGAUUAGCAUGGCCUCUGAAAAAGUUGACACGUACAAAUCAAGAGUUGGGUCAAAAGAACUUUUCU